rnacentral:rRNA from 1 species
GAGACAGGAAUGGGCGAAUGGAAUUCCCAGUGGAGCGGUGAAAUGCGUUGAUAUUGGGAGGAACAUCAGUGGCGAAGGCGAUUCGCUGGUCCUUGUCUGACACUAAGGCUCGAAAGCGUGGGGAGCGAAACGGAUUAGAUACCCGUGUAGUCCACGCCGUAAACAAUGGGCGCUAGGUGUUCGGUACAACUACUUAAUCCUUCGGGAUUGAAUGGAAGUAUUGAGUACUGCAGCUAACGCGUUAAGCGUCCCGCCUGGGAAGUACGGCCGCAAGGCUAAAACUCAAACGAAUUGGCGGGGACCCGCACAAGCGGAGGAGCGCGUGGUUUAAUUCGACGGCAAUCGAAGAACCUUACCAGGGUUUGAAAUGUAUCUGCAUGCCCCAUGAAAGUGGGGAGGCUUUCGAAGGUGAUACACAGGUGCUGCAUGGCCGUCGUCAGCUCGUGUCGUGAGAUGUAGGGUUAAGUCCCGAAACGAGCGCAACCCCUAUCCCAUGUUACAAGUGUCUUGGGAAACCGCCUCGGUAAAACGAGGAGGAAGGUGGGGAUGACGUCUGGUCCGCAUAGCCCUUAUGUCCUGGGCUACACACACGCUACAAUGGCCAAUACAGUAGGAAGCCAAAUCGUAAGAUGGAGCUGAUCCUCAAAGUUGGUCUCAGUUCGGAUUGAGGUCUGAAACUCGACCUCAUGAAGUUGGAUUCGCUAGUAAUCGUGAAUCAGCCAUGUCACGGUGAAUACGUUCUCGGGUCUUGCACACACCGCCCGUCAAGCCAUGGGAGUAGGUGAUACCCGAAGGUGUUYUGUCUCUUGUAGAUGGAAUGA